GUUCUCACUCUACAAGCAGUGUGGCAGUGUGUGAAUGAGAGAAAAAGCACUGUGCAGCACCACCUUCAUUACUCACCGCACCGGUGUGUGGCCGAGGUGACAACAGAUGGAGACGGACUCGGAGAGGGAGCCAUUUUCAAGUCUACACUGAAGCCAUUACCUCAGCUGCCACAGAGAUGACAAUGACAUUUUCAGUCACCGCGUAACUCAGCUAUAAACUGGAGCUGUUUGACAUGAAAGGCAUCUAUUUCGUUUUAUGUUGCUGUGGUGCAUGAGUUCAAUACAUGUGUUUUCUUUGACAAUUAAGAAGACAGUUUGGUCUGUAGUUAAACAAUUACUCAGAGGCCACACUUAAGUGUAAAACAGACCACCGUCAGGUCCUGCAUGCAUGAGGCCUGUCUAGAGAGACUCACUGGGGAGCCAGUGAUUAUACAGUGUGAUAUGUUUAUGUGGAAUAAGUUGCAAUGACUUCAUUCCAGAGGCCCUCUUGAGGCCUUCUUUUUACACUGUAAAACAAGCUGGGAUCAAUAAUUAGUAUAGCAAGCAUAACUCGGCAACAAAUCAAAUCAAAUGUGAUUUGUCACACACGCCGAAUACAACAGGUUACAGUGAAAUGCUUACUUACAAGCCCUAUAGCCCGAUAGUUAGUAUAGUUCGUAUACUGAGGCCCUCAGUAACCUAUUAAAACCAGACGGCGAUAUACAAAACACAGCUUACCUUGUGACACACUGUCUAAGAAACGGUUAGUUUAGAUAAUACCUCAUUUAGCCUCUGUUGCUGUGAAUAAAUAAAUACAGAUGCACAUAUAAAUGCUGAAGUGACUGUUGUGAAGAGAGGCUAGAAAUAGCAUGCAGUGGCUCCAAACACUGUGUCCCUGGGAAUUUAUUUCUUCUUCACUGAAUUUAUUUGCUUUAUGGUCAAAUCGGCCACCUCCGUAUCUGGCGAAGUCAAUGUUACACCAGGGAGUGGUUGGCUAUGAGUGGAUUAAGACUUUUCCAUUGACCAGCGGUUUACAGAGGUUAUAAUCUUGGGUCCCAUUGAGUGAUUUCCCGUUAAGCCCAGGAAAGCUGUCAAAUGUUACUUACUGGAAUCCAAUGGAAUUUGUAGCUAGCGCUGAGUCGUUGGCAGUGAUGUACAUGGACACAAAGCUCACAGGAAGUUGCAAAUAGGACUGUCUGUGGACAAUGAGGUUCUCUUUUAUAUAGUAUUGAACAGAACAGAACAGAACAGAACAGGGCAAUAAACUAGUAUUUAUUUUAUCAUGUUUUACUGAAAACAUGGCUGUAAUGGCUCCCAAACGUACACAGAUCUGGCGCCGAGUGUUGUUGGACAGAUGAAUAAUUUCUUAACCAAGAGAUUUAAUCAUUUGAGGGAUAUAUUGAAGCUAGCGGGUGGUGGGUCUAACCCUGGCAGUCUUGCAUGAUAUUCAGACCUGCCUUUCAUGCACAUUGUCAUUCUAUGCAUGAUAAAAUAAUAUAUAUCU